rnacentral:rRNA from 1 species
AUUGAACGCUGGCGGCAGGCCUAACACAUGCAAGUCGAACGAGUGGCGGACGGGUGAGUAAUGUCUGGGAAACUGCCUGAUGGAGGGGGAUAACUACUGGAAACGGUAGCUAAUACCGCAUACCAUCGGAUGUGCCCAGAUGGGAUUAGCUAGUAGGUGGGGUAAAGGCUCACCUAGGCGACGAUCCCUAGCUGGUCUGAGAGGAUGACCGGCAACACGGGAACUGAGAAACGGUCAAGACUCCUAGGGGAGGCAGCAGUGGGGAAUAUGGCACAAGGGGCGCAAGCCGGAUGCAGCCAUGCCGCGUGUAGGAGGAGGGCCUUCGGGUUGUAAAGUACUUUCAGCGGGGAGGCGUUACCCACAGAAGAAGCGACGGCUAACUCCGUGCCAGCCGCCGCGGUAAUAC